rnacentral:rRNA from 1 species
UACGGGGGGGGCAAGCGUUGUUCGGAAUUACUGGGCGUAAAGGGCGCGUAGGCGGUUCGCUAAGUUGAAUGUGAAAACUCUGGGCUUAACCCAGAGCCUGCAUUCAAUACUGGCGGGCUAGAGUUCUGGAGGGGAUAGCGGAAUUCCUGGUGUAGCGGUGAAAUGCGUAGAUAUCCGGAGGAACACCGGUGGCGAAGGCGGCUUCCUGGACCGACACUGACGCUGAGGCGCGAAAGCUAGGGGAGCAAACGGG